UACGUAGGGUGCAAGCGUUAAUCGGAAUUACUGGGCGUAAAGCGUGCGCAGGCGGUGAUGUAAGACAGAUGUGAAAUCCCCGGGCUCAACCUGGGAACUGCAUUGUGACUGCAUCGCUGGAGUGCGGCAGAGGGGGAUGGAAUUCCGCGUGUAGCAGUGAAAUGCGUAGAUAUGCGGAGGAACACCGAUGGCGAAGGCAAUCCCCUGGGCCUGCACUGACGCUCAUGCACGAAAGCGUGGGGAG
rnacentral:rRNA from 1 species